GUGUGACAAAAAGCUUUGUGUGGCACGUAAGCACAAGUGCAUUAGUCCUUAAAACAUGUCUCUUCAAUACUGUCUGAGACUGGCUUUGGUUGGCUUGACUCUUUCUCUUGUGGGAUGUCUGCCUGAAGUGUCAAUAGAUGAAAACAGUGGCAUCCAGAUGUCUGCGCUACUCAAACGGUCAAAACAAAACACAGACUUGACCCCACGAAUGCAGUUUGCAAAGAACACCAUGUUAUUUUCAGAACGUGAUAAAAAUAUUAAUCUACCAGACCCAACAAAUCAUUAAUUGAGGAAGCCAAGUCAGCCCAACAAAUCAUUAAUUGAGGAAGCCAAGUCAGCCCAACAAAUCAUUAAUUGAGGAAGCCAAGUCAGCAUAACACCCAAAAUAGGACACAUCUGAAUUCCUUCGGCCAAAGUACUGUAUAAUCGUUAUCCAUUAAACAUUAUCGUGUGACAAGUCUUGUGCCAGGUAACACAACGAAGAGUCAUGUCCACAGCGUUAGUCCAUCUGUGUCUGGCACUCAGGGCGCAUCUAAAAAUUCAGACAUCUCUACAAAAAUCAGAAAUGCACUCUGGCCAAAAGCCCUUCUUAAAGUCUUCAUCUAAUGUGCAAUAUGCCCCUGCUCGUCCACAUACCGCCCAAAAUGCACUCGCUCAAAAACCCUUGAUACGUGAGGGCUACGAAAAAACGCUUUUCCAGUUCAAGGACAUUGAAUCAAGCCAAGAAAAACAACCUUAUUGGGAUCAGACAGAUUCUUUUGAUAAUGGACCUCAACAUGAAACCAUCUCUUCUACUGAAGGUGCAAGUAACCCGAUGUCUGAUGCUCUAAAGCACCAUGUUGUUAGAGGUCACGCUGUAGCAAUGAAAACAUCUCAAAUACUACAAAUAAUGGAGCUGUUGACGAAGUUCAGUCAAAAACAUCUCAGAGGUGGACUUCAAAUAGGCUUACUUCAGCACAGCCCACUAAAUCUAACCAAGAUGAAUUCCCAACAAUGAGAUUCUCAAAUGGCAGUUUUGUUGGAUCCAACUUAAAUGGCAUCCAUAAAAUCUAGCAACAGUCAUAACAGUCCCACAUCAGAGCUUAUUCUUCCAAUUCAUAAGUCUUCUCUUAUGAACAAAGUGACUGGGUAUCCUCAAAUACGCAAUGCUGUUAUCCAGCCACUUCGCAGGUAUAGCUUGAAGGAACAUGAAGGUGUGUUAAAUCCAACAAAGGAAAUUAAAGACAGAAACUCUGCUGGAAUAACACAGUCAAAUACUGAAAAUUAUAGUCCCAUAAGAUUGAGACCGACCAGCAGCGUUGUGAUUGGUAGGCAAGUUGAAGACAGUUCAAACCACCAGAUCAUCUAUGCCAUCCCAACCUCUCAAUAUGCAAUUUAUAGAUCUGCUGUCGUUAAUAGUCAUAAAACGAAUAGCUCUGCAAAGCUCACUUUCCAGUCACCUAUGCACAGAUCUGCUAUGAAACCUUCUGGCAAAGCUAACAUCCUUCAAGCUAAUGCAGCUUCAGACUGGAGGAACGAAACUUCUCAAAUCUCAGAAGCAGAUAUCAGCCUAAGUGCUGUCAGUGUGUCCCAGGCUUUAAGACCCACAAGCAGCUUUGCAGUCGGAAAGUACAUUAAUACAUUUGAUAAAACCUCAUCCAAAUCCAACCUUAACGUCUUCAACAAAAUCAGGCCUAAACAAUUAUAAACCAGUUUGGUUUUCAGAUAUAGCAGGUAGCGCCUCCUUCACCGACAUCAAACCACAUUCUGCUGACACCAAGGCGAAGGAAGAAGUGGAUCUCGAAAGUGAUCAAAACAGCACUAAUUCAACAUCAGUGAUGGAGGAAAGUUUUAAAGAGCUGGUUUUUGACCGUUCCUCUAUGAUCUCGGCCUUACAAAAUUAAAUGGAUGAAAGUGCAAUGGAUUUAAGUGUCCCUGAGCUUAUGCCAGCAGCUGCUAUAGACUUCACCACACAAUCUCAGCUGUCAUUUACAGAAGAACAUAUGCGACCAUAACCAACUGUCUAUUCCUCUGAGUCACAGCUGGAUCCUGGGAAUUACACCACACCUACAGCAGAGGAUAUUGAUCCAUUUUAUGUGGGAACAUUGAUACCCAAUACCACUUUGCAGGACAAAAUGACCUCAGGUUGAGAUCUGCCUCUUCAAAUUUUCUGUUGUAUGCACUCCAAAGCCGUCAUUAACAAGACAAACUGCAAUGUGAGGUGUUUUUCCUCUUCUGUAGGUAGAUGGCCC